AACGAACGCUGCGGCGUGCUUAACACAUGCAAGUCGAACGGAGUGGCGGACGGGUGAGUAAUACAUAGGAAUCUGCCUUAAAGUGGGGACAACCAGGCGAAAGUUUGGCUAAUACCGCAUACUUAUAGAGGAGCCUAUGUUUGAUUAGCUAGUUGGUGGGGUAAAGGCCUACCAAGGCGACGAUCAAUAGCUGGUCUGAGAGGACGAUCAGCCACACUGGGACUGAGACACGGCCCAGACUUCUACGGAAGGCAGCAGUGGGGAAUUUUCCGCAAUGGGCGCAACCUGACGGAGCGACGCCGCGUAUGGGAUGAAGUAUUUAGGUAUGUAAACCAUUGUCAGUGGGGACGCGGUACCCACAGAGGAAGCAUCGGCUAACUACGUGCCAGCAGCCGCGGUAAUACGUAGGAUGCAAGCGUUGUUCGGAAUUACUGGGCGUAAAGAGUACGUAGGCGGUAUGGUAAGUCUGAUAUUAAAGACUGGGGCUUAACUUCAGGAAUGUAUCGGAAACUGCCAAACUAGAGGACAAUAGAGGAAGUCGGAAUUCUCAGUGUAGCGGUGAAAUGCGUAGAUAUUGGGAAGAAGACCAGUGGCGAAAGCGGACUUCUGGGUUGUUACUGACGCUGAGGUACGAAAGCGUGGGGAGCAAACGGGAUUAGAUACCCCGGUAGUCCACGCUGUAAACGAUGGAUACUAGGUGUAGCCCUGUGCCGUAGCUAACGCAAUAAGUAUCCCGCCUGGGGAGUAUGGCCGCAAGGUUGAAACUCAAAGGAAUUGACGGGGACCCGCACAAGCGGUGGAGGAUGUGGUUUAAUUCGACGCAACGCGAAGAACCUUACCAAGGCUUGACAUCCAGGUGGUGCAUGGCUGUCGUUAGCUCGUGUCGUGAGAUGUUGGGUUAAGUCCCGCAACGAGCGCAACCCUCGAUGCUAGUUACGACUCUAGCGUGACUGCCGGUGAUAAGCCGGAGGAAGGUGAGGACGACGUCAAGUCAUCAUGCCCCUUACGUCUUGGGCUACACACGUCCUACAAUGGCAUAGACAAAGGGCUGCAAGCUAGCGAUAGUAAGCGAAUCCCAUAAACUAUGUCUCAGUUCGGAUUGCAGGCUGCAACUCGCCUGCAUGAAGUUGGAAUCGCUAGUAACCGUAGAUCAGCACGCUACGGUGAAUACGCUCCCGGGUCUUGUACACACCGCCCGUCA
rnacentral:rRNA from 1 species